rnacentral:rRNA from 1 species
AUGGGUAUUAAACUACCAAACUACGGGGACCCCCUAAAGCUUAUGCUACCAAGCCAUCAUGGAAACAUGGUGUGUGGCUGGAGUAAUUACCCAGGUAAUAUGAUUUUAAUUUUAAUUGUAGUGGUAACAACGCAUGAGAUUUACGAAAGUAGAAUGGGCUAUCGCGUAUCUAAGUCAGACGUGCAGAAGUCUGUAAAAGAGCAACGAGUAGACGGUAGUUGUUGCAAUACUAAUUCUAGUAUGCAAUUAAGGUGUACUCUAACGUCCCAUGAAAAUGGGAAUCUAACCGAAAUCCUUUCUAACCCUGGUAACAACAAUGCAUCAAUUAAUUCAGUUAAACCGUCUUUACCUGUAGACCCUUGGGCUAUUACUGGAUUUACUGAUGCUGAAGGAUCUUUUAUGCUUAAAAUCGCUAAGUUAGUGCGAGUUCAAUUAGAAUUUUGCAUUGGUUUACAUGUUAAAGAUUUAGCUUUACUUAAAGCUAUUCAAAGACAUUUUGGAGUAGGUAACAUUCGUGUGUCUGGUAACACAGCAUACUUUUCUGUUAAAAGACUUGAUGAUAUUCUAAAUGUUGUCAUUCCGUUUUUUGACAAAUAUCCUCUUCAAACCGCUAAAUCAGCAGACUAUCUUUUAUUCAAACAAAGAGCUCUUUUAAUGCAAGAAAAACAUCACCUCAAAAAUAUUUUAAACUUUUGUAGCCAUCAAAAGCUAGUAUUAAUUGGGGGAUUAAGUGGUGCUUUACUUAGAAGAUAUCCUAAUGUUGUAGCAGUUGAUCGACCUAGUGUAACGUUCACUCUGCCAUUAGACCCUAAUUGGGUUGCUGGAUUUACAUCUGGCGAUGGUAGUUUCACUAUCACAAUUAGCGUGGAAAAUGGACGAUCUCGGGUGCGAUUUAAAUUUAAUUUAACUCAACACAUUCGAGACACUAAACUUAUCAAUUAUUUUACUACUUUCUUCAAUUGUGGUUCUGUUUAUAUUAACCGUGAAACAGCUAGUUUUAAUGUGUAUGAUUUCCCUUCAUUAAAUGAAAAUAUUAUUCCUUUCUUCACACAAUAUCCCUUACUUGGAGUUAAACAAUAUAAUUUCAAACUAUGGGUGGAAGCAAUGGAGAUCGUUAAUCGAGGAGAGCAUAAUACUGCAAAAAAAUUAGCUCAGAUUAAAGCGCUUAAAGAACAGAUGAAAUAA